GGGGAUAUAGCUCAGUGGUAGAGCAUGUGACUGCAGAUCAUAUGGUCCCCGGUUCAAUCCCGGGUGUCCCCU
rfam:Strongyloides ratti strain ED321 Heterogonic genome assembly, chromosome: 1